rnacentral:rRNA from 1 species
AGAGUUUGAUCAUGGCUCAGAAUCAACGCUGGCGGCGCGCCUAACACAUGCAAGUCGAACGAGAAAGUGGAGCAAUCCAUGAGUAAAGUGGCGUACGGGUGAGUAACACGUGGGGAAUCUACCUCUUUGUGGGGAAUAACUUUGGGAAACCGAAGCUAAUACCGCAUAAGCCUGAGAAGGGAAAGCAGCAAUGCGCAGGGAGAGGACCCCGCGGCCGAUUAGCUAGUUGGUGAGGUAAAGGCUCACCAAGGCAAAGAUCGGUAGCCGGCCUGAGAGGGCACACGGCCACACUGGCACUGAAACACGGGCCAGACUCCUACGGGAGGCAGCAGUGGGGAAUCUUGCACAAUGGGGGAAACCCUGAUGCAGCGACGCCGCGUGAGCGAUGAAGCCCUUCGGGGCGUAAAGCUCUUUCGGCCGGAACGAUAAUGACGGUACCGGAAGAAGAAGCUGCGGCUAACUACGUGCCAGCAGCCGCGGUAAUAC